UGAUGUUUUUCAUUCUUUUCUAGGUUUAAAAUGGAAGUAUGGUGUUUAAGUGAUACAAUGUACUCUGCUGGCAGAAAUUCAUCAUCAUGGCAUUGCUUUUAAUGAUUGUUUUGUGAUGAGGUUUUACCAGAUUUUAAGACCAAAUGUGGAGAACAUAACAAAAACUGUGCAUAAAAUAAACCAGUUUAAAAGCUACAUGUCUACUUCUAAAAGAACUAGAAAAAAGGGUUAAGAAAAUAAAAAAAAUUAAAGGAAAAUUGUGUUAAAGUAAAAAACUUGUCUUAUUUAUUUUCCUCAGGCUUCAAACUUUUAAGAUUAAGGAGAAAAUGUAAAAAUUGCUUAAGACUCUGAGAUAGAAUUUAGAUAUGAGCAACCCCUCUCCCCCCCCCCCCCCCCCCCCCCAUACAAUAUUUUUUAUACGACCGCAAAAAAAUUUUUGUGGUCGUAUAUUGGUAUGACGUUGGCGGCGUCGUCCGAAGACACAUUGGUUUUCGCACUCUAACUUUAGUUUAAGUGAAUGGAUCUCUAUGAAAUUUUACCACAAGGUUCAAUACCACAAAAGGAAGGUUGGGAUUGAUUUUGGGGGUUAUGGUACCAACAGUAAAGGAAUUCGGGGCCAAAAAGGGGCCAAAAAUAAGCAUUUUUAUACGCCCGUUUACGGGACGUAUUAUGGCAUACCGUUGUCCAUCCGUCCGUCUGUCCGUCGUCAACAUGUCGGCCAUUAACUCAAAAAUGCUUUAACCAAUUUGCAUAAAACUUUGGUGAAUUGUUUAUAUCUAUUGAUGUGAGCUCCCUUUCGUUUUUUAUAAAAUUUAGAUUUUACGUUUCCGAGUUGUGGGGUUUUAUUCAUUAAAAAAAUGGGGAUUUUCCAGUUUUCGGACAAUAAGUCAAGAAUGCUUUCACCAACUUGCAAGAAAUUGUGGUGAAUUGUUUAUAUCUAUUGACAUGAGCUCGCUUUCGAUUUUUAUAAAUUUUAGAUUUUACGUUUCCGAGUUAUGGGGUUUUAUUCAUAAAAAAAGGGGGGAUUUUCCAGUUUUCGGACAAAAACUCAAAAAUGCUUUCAGCAAUUCUUAUGAAACUUUGGUGAAUUGAUUGUAUGUAUUGAUGUAAGCUCCCUUUAGAAUUUUAUAAAUUUUACAUUUUACAUUUUUGAGUUAUGGGGUUUUAUUCAUUAAAAAAGGGGGGAUUUUCCAGUUUUCGGACAAUAACUCAAAAAUGCUGUCACCAAUUCUCAUGAAACGUUGGUGAAUUGUUUAUAUCUAUUGAUGAAAGCUCCCUUUUUAUUUUGAUAAAUUUCUAAUAUGACAUUGAGAAUUUAUUGAACUUUAUUUGUUUAUAGUCUGACAACAGAUUUACUAAGUAUCGCACAACAGCAAGAAAUCUUUAAUUGAAUAUAAAUUCAAUUCAUAUAACCAAUUUCAAGUUCUUUGACUACAUUUAUUCAGAAACCUAUAAUAUGUCAAAUAUUUAAUUACAAUCCAAAUUCAGACCUGAAUCAAGCUUGAAUAUUGUGUCCAUUUUUGCCCCAACUGUUCAGGGUUGGACCUCUGCAGGGGUAUCUAGCUGCACUCAGCGAAGCAGUUUAUUGUAACUUCCAGACAUAACUUGUGUGUUAGUGUAUGGAUCUCUCUGACAUUGUACCACAAGGUUCCAUAUCACAAAAGGAAUGCUGGGAUUGAUUUUGGGGGUAAUUGCCUCAAAAUUUUAGGAAUUAGGGGCCAAAAAAGGGGCAAAAAACAAGCAUUUUUCUAGUUUCAUGACAAUAACUUGUGUGUAAGUGUAUGGAUCUUUCUGAAAUUGUACUACAAUCUAACCAUGUAUUUAGAUUUUUGAUUUUCGGGCCCCGUUAUCAACUUUGUCCACAUUGAGGUCAAAAGGGUCCAAAAUUAAACUUUGUUUGAUUUCAUCAAAAAUUGAAUUCUUGGGGUUCUUUGAUAUGCUGAAUCUAACCAUGUAUUUAGAUUUUGGAUAUUGGACCAUAAUAGGUGAAUGUCCAAUUUAAAAUUUUUAAGUUCUUAGACCGCAUUCAUUCUGUGUCAGAAACCUAUGCUGUGUCAAAUAUUUAAUCACAAUCCAAAUGCAAAGCUGUAUCAAGCUUGAAUGUUGUGUCCAUACUUGCCCCAACUGUUCAGGGUUCAACCUCUGCAGUUGUAUCAAGCUGCGCCCUGCGGAGCAUUUUAUUUUAAGUUAAGGCUGUUGCUUGUAUUAUAAAUUCCAGCUUAUCCUGCAAGAAUGUCAUUUAUUGUCAAAUACAUCAUUAUUGACAUAUUUAUGACCUCACUGAGACAUCACAAAUGACAUCAGAGACAAAAUUAUCAUAUAAUUUUUCAAGGAUUGAUGAAUUUUUCAAUUUUUUUGCAUUUUUAGGAGCCAAAUAAUGGUUUAUAUUAAACCUCCCCCUGUGGUUGAUGACGACAUUCCUAACAAUAGAAAAUAAACAAAAAUACUAAUAUUAGCUUGAAUCAGAACAGAAAGAUAAGAUGAACAAUGUCACUAUUGCUCUAGAAGAUUUCUUGAUUUGUAUGAUUUGUUGAAAACCUGUUUAUCAAGUGGUAAUUUUAAGCCAAGUGCAUGUGAUACUGGUUCCUGGGGAUCUUUUUUUUAUGCCCCCCCCCCCCCCCUCCCCCCGUACAUCCCAAAGUUGGUUUCCGUUCUCUAACUUUAGUUUGCCUCAAUCAAAUGUUAUGAAACUUAUACACAAUGCUUAUUACCACAAAACACAGAUCAAGUUUGAAUUUUGGUGGUGUCACUUUAACCGUUCUAGAGUUAUGCCCCUUUACAAAUGGAAAAAUUGCUUUCUUUACUAUCUAUGAUAAUCAGAGGACCAGACAAGAAUGCACAAAAACAUUUACAUUAUGAGUCAAUAGUCAGUUCUCAAUGUAUAUGAACACAAGACAAAGUCAUAUUAUACUUUUCUAUCCUAUAUUUACUGUUAACUUUACCAUUGUUAGACAUAAGAGGUAUUGUAAAUUCAGAAAUUAAUGCAUGCAUUUAUUAUUGCAAUUGUUGACAGAAAUGUGAGAUUAAUUUAUGCAAUUUCAGAAAAUUUGAAUAUAAAUAAUGGAAAGGAGUUUAAAAUGUGGGUUCUGAUUAAUGCUUUACUAUUCCUGUCAUAUUUUUCUCAAUUGUUUGAUUUAUAGUAAUUUUAGGCUCUACGAAAUAUGAUGUUUAAUUUUUUGGGGCAUAAUUUUCUGAAAGUGUGCAAUAGUUUUUAAGCCCUUGUAUUAUAAAAAUGUAUUUUCAUUUAUGAAAGCUUUUCUUUUAUACUCUGUAGGUAUACAAUUUUGAUAUGUCAUAUCUUUCUAUAUCUAGAAGUUCUUUAUACAUAAAUUAUAUACAAUCUUUUUAUAUGCUUUAAAUAUUGGUUUAAAAAUUGAACAGUACUGUUCGUGGUGACAAUCUUAGUAAAAGAUUCAUAUAGAUCAUACAAUUGUUUAAAUCUCUGUUAACAGUUGAUCAUACAAUUGUAUAGAUCUUUGAUAACAGUCUUACUGUCCAUCAUAUAAUUGUAUAGAUCUCUGUUAACAUUUGAUCAUAUAAUAGACCACUUUCGAGUUCGUUGCAUUUCCUUCAAAAACUUUGGUUUUAAUUAACAUCGUUCGUGCAUUUAGGAGCAUCGUCACUUCCUUCCCAGGAUGAGCGAGAGGUUAAAAAAAUAUGAUGCUAUAGUACACGAAUUAUUCGCCAAAUUAAAUUCUUAUAAUUGAUAAUCAGCACUGCUGUCAUUAGGGAAUUGUGAUUAAGUACCUACAGAACAAACGCUAUUUCUAGUUUAUCCUGCAUAAUGACGAUCACGAAGAUAUUUGAUGAACCUCUAUCUGGCAUAUGAUUGAAUCGAUCUCUGUUAACAGUUGAUCAUAUAAUCGUAUAGAUCUAUGUUAACAGUUGAUCAUAUAAUUGAAUCCAUCUCUGUUAACAGCUGAUCAUAAUUGUUUAGAUCUCUGUUAACAGUUGAUCAUUAAAUUAUUUGGAUCUCUGUUAACAGUUGAUCAUAUAAUCGAAUAUAUAUCUGUUAUCAGUUGAUCAUAGAGUUGUAUACAUAUAUUGUUAACAGUUGAUCAUUGUACAGAUCUCAUUCAACAGUUGAUCAUAUAAUUAUAAAGAUCACUGUUAACAGUUGAUCAUAUAAUAUAUAGAUAUCUGUUAACCGUUGAUCAUAUAAUAUAUAGAUCUCUGUCAACAGUUGAUCAUAUAAUAUAUAGAUAUCUGUUAACAGUUGAUCAUAUAAUAUAUAAAUCUCUGUUAACAGUUGAUCAUAUAAUAUAUAGAUAUCUGUUAACAGUUUAUCCUACAACUGCAUCUCUGUUAACAAAUGGGGAUCAUUGCAUCUUAUUUUAGGGAUCCUUUUGUUAUUGAACUAAUCAAAAUAAAAGAGGGACCAUUUUUUUAUCAAUUUUUGACAAAUUACACAUUAUGAUAGAGAUUACGAUGUUUUCCACCUUGUAUCCUUUACUUAAGCUAAAAUAGUGUUAACAAAAACACCUUGUCAAAACUUAAAUGUCUUGGUGGACAGUGGCAUCUGUGUUGCAUGGUCAUAUUUAACUAAAUUACAUUGGCUAAAAACCUUCAUAUUGUGACUCAUAGUCAGGUAGUGUUAAUUGUGGCCAUUAGAACAAUGACAGCUUUCACAUUUAUUGUUACCCUCUCCGACCUAUAUUAAGCUGGUAUUUGGUAUAUAAAAAGUGAGAUCAGUAUAUAUAAGUGUGAAUGACCUUCUUUUGAUAUCAUUUAAGGUAGUUGACAAACAGUUCAAAUAGGGUUUCUUUCUGGUGAACUUAUUUGGAAUUGUUAUGUUGAAAUAUUAAAUUUUGUCUUUGACAAUUUCAAAUUUCUCUAUAAGGUUGUUAAAGUAAAAUUUUGAAUUGCAAAGGACAAAAUUUAAAUACAUGUAUUAACAGAAUUGUUAGCCUUAUACAGGGAAAACUUCUUGAAAAUAAUAAUAUGAGUAGCUACCGUUGACUCAUGUUUUAAAUGACCUAAUUAAAUUCAUUAGACAUUAGAAAACAUUAGUGAAAGUGAUAUCCCUUUUUAUACGACCGCAAAAAAAUUUUUGUGGUCGUAUAUUGGUAUGACGUUGGCGUCGUCGUCGUCCGGCGUCGUCGUCGUUGUCGUCGUCGUCGUCCGGCGUCGUCUGGCGUCGUCCGAAGACACAUUGGUUUUCGCACUCUAACUUUAGUUUAAGUGAAUGGAUCUUUAUGAAAUUUUACCACAAGGUUCAAUACCACAAAAGGAAGGUUGGGAUUGAUUUUGGGGGUUAUGGUAAUAACAGUAAAGGAAUUAGGGGCCAAAAAGGGGCCAAAAAUAAGCAUUUUUGUAACUUCCAGACAUAACUUGUGUGUUAGUGUAUGGAUCUCUCUGACAUUGUACCACAAGGUUCCAUAUCACUAAAGGAAUGCUGGGAUUGAUUUUGGGGGUAAUUGCCUCCAAAUUUUAGGAAUUAGGGGCCAAAAAAAGGGCAAAAAACAAGCAUUUUUCUAGUUUCAUGACAAUAACUUGUGUGUAAGUGUAUGGAUCUUUCUGAAAUUGUACUACAAGGUUCCAUAUCACAAAGGGAAAGCUGGGUUUGAGUUUGGGGGUAAUUGCCCUAAACGUUUAGGAAUUUGGGGCCAAAAAGGGGCCAAAAAACACAUUUUUUUCUAGUUUCCAGACAAUAACUUGUGUUCAAGUGUAUGGAUCUCUCUGAAAUUGUACUGCAAGGUACCAUACCACAAAGGGAAGGCUGGGAUUGAGUUUGGGGGUGAUGAAUCAUAAUGGGGGUUCAAAAAAUUUUGGGGGGGGGAUUUAUUUUUUUUUCCUUUUUUUUCUUUUUUUCCUUUUUUGUUUCUUUUAAAAUUUUCCAUUUUAAGUUGGUUAUUUCUGAUUUAUAUUUAAAAUCAAAUAAUAAUGAUAUGGUAGGAGAUACACACCAAACAGGAUGUGUAAAUUAUUAUAUAAUAAGUAUUGUGCAAUAGCAAGAAAUUUUCAAUUGCACAGUAUUGCACAAUAGCAAGAAAUCUUCAAUUGCACAGUAUUGCGCAAUAGCAAGAAAUCUUCAAUUGCACAGUAUUGCGCAAUAGCAAGAAAUAUCCAAUAGCACAAUAUUGCGCAAUAGCAAGAAAUUGUCAAUUGUACAGUAUUGCGCAAUAGCAAGAAAUAUUUAAUAGCACAGGAUUGUGCAAAAGAAGAUACUUCCUAUAAAUUGCUUAUUUCUUGACCAAUUUCAAUGGGGUUUUAUUCUUGAUUUCAUGGGGUUCUUUAAUAUGCUGAAUCUAACCGUGUAUUUAGUUUUUGGAUUUUGGGCCCCGUUUUUAAAUUGGUCCACAUUGAGGUCCAAAGGGUCCAAAAUUAAACUUUGUUUGAUUUCAUCAAAAAUUGAAUUAUUGGGGUUCUUUGAUAUGCCGAAUCUAACUGUGUAUUUAGAUUCUUAAAUUUUGGUUCCGUUUUCAAAUUGGUCUACAUUAAGGUCCAAAGGGUCCAAAAUUAAACUUAGUUUGAUUUUAACAAAAAUUGAAUUCUUAGGGUUCUUUGAUAUGCUGAAUCUAAACAUGUAUUUAGAUUUUUGAUUAUGGGCCCAGUUUUCAAGUUGGUCCAAAUCGGGGUCCAAAAUUAAACUUUGUUUGAUUUCAACAAAAAUUGAAUAUAUGGGGUUCUUUGAUAUGCUGAAUCUAACCAUGUAUUUAGAUUUUUGAUUUUUGGGCCCCGUUAUCAACUUUGUCCACAUUGAGGUCAAAAGGGUCCAAAAUUAAACUUUGUUUGAUUUCAUCAAAAAUUGAAUUAUUGGGGUUCUUUGAUAUGCCAAAUCUAACCGUGUAUUUAGAUUUUUAAUUUUGGGUCCUGUUUUUUAAAUUGGUCUACAUUAAGGUCCAAAGGGUCCAAAAUUAAACUUAGUUUGAUUUUAACAAAAAUUGAAUUUUUGGGGUUCUUUGAUAUGCUGAAUCUAAACAUGUGUUUAGAUUUUUGAUUAUGGGACCAGUUUUCAAGUUGGUCCAAGUUGGGGUCUAAAAUUAAACUUUGUUUGAUUUCAACAAAAAUUGAAUAUAUGGGGUUCUUUGAUAUGCUGAAUCUAAACAUGUAUUUAGAUUUUAGAUUUUUGGCCCAGUUUUCAAGAUGGUCCAAAUUGGGGUCCAAAAUUAAACUUUGUUUGAUUUCAACAAAAAUUGAAUAUAUGGGGUUCUUUGAUAUGCUGAAUCUUACCAUGUAUUUAGAUUUUUUAUUUGUGGGCCCGCUAUCAAAUUGGUUCAUAUUGAGGUCAAAAGGGUCCAAAAUUAAACUUUGUUUGAUUUCAUCAAAAAUUGAAUUAUUGGGGUUCUUUGAUAAGCCAAAUCUAACUGUGUUUUUAGAUUUUUAAUUUAGGGUCCCGUUUUUUAAAUUUGUCUACAUUAAGGUCCAAAGGGUCCAAAAUUAAACUUAGUUUGAUUUUAACAAAAAUUGAAUUCUUGGGGUACUUUGAUAUGCUGAAUCUAAACAUGUGUUUAGAUUUUUGAUUAUGGGACCAGUUUUCAAGUUUGUCCAAGUUGGGGUCCAAAAUUAAACUUUGUUUGAUUUCAACAAAAAUUGAAUAUAUGGGGUUCUUUGAUAUGCUGAAUCUAACCAUGUAUUUUGAUUUUGGACAUUGGACCAUAAUAGGUAAAUUAAAAAAAUUGAAGUUCUUAGACCACAUUCUUUCUGUGUCAGAAACCUAUGCUGUGUCAAAUAUUUAAUCACAAUCCAAAUUCAGAGCUGUAUCAAGCUUGAAUGUUGUGUCCAUACUUGCCCCAACUGUUCAGGGUUCGACCUCUGCGGUCGUAUCAAGCUGCGCCCAGCGAAGCAUUUUAUUCAUUUUGUUUAUGGCAAAGUUGUUUAUUUUCUCCUAUUCUGAAGUCAUUGUUUUUUUCUUCUUUUAAGGGUGCCACGAAAUUUAUUAAGGGUGCAGUAAAUUUACAAAAGGAGUAACAUUUUCCUAGUAUAAAAGGAAACCUGGUCGUAAUAUUAUGAAUCAGCUUCAUGCAUCUGUUGUCGUUUCAGACUACGCUUCUCAUUCAAAACAUGAACUUAAUUCAUUUCUAAAUUAAAAUCGUAUUGAGGACAUUUCAAUGGUGACGGCAAAAGAUAUAUAUAUAUAUAUAUUUUGACAAUAAAAGAUUUUAUUUACACCAAGGAUUUGUAUAUGUAUACACAUAAACAAUCUUAGUUUUAAACUGCCAUCUCUUUACCCCAGAAUAAAAAGACAAAAACCACUACAAAUGAUUGUCUCGUGGAAAUAAGGUUAUAAAAUACUUUUUAAAUAGUGUCUUCCAUGUUGCUUUGAUGUAUGACCUCGGCUCCCACUUCAAUGUGUUUUUUUGUAGAUUUUUUUGUUGCUUCGAGGACACACAUAUCCAUCUAUGUAUGCAGUAUUGUCAAUUGUUUUUGUUGGUGGGUCUCUCGCUUAUGUUUUCGUCCUUUUCACUAUCAACAAAGAGUUCCGUUAUCAGUUUAUUCAACUUGGAGUAUAUCUAAGUCGUAACUAUUAAGAUUAUCAUCCCACGAAAUAAAAUCGGAAUUUUCCAUAUUGCGUGCACAUUAAUGAAGCUUUAUUCAAAUGAGAAAUUAAUUGUAAUUUUCUUAAAUAAUAUUAAUUCUCAAUACACACUUCGAACAUGAAGAAACCAUAAAUUUACCGACAAUCAUUUAAAAAACAACUCAAUGCAAGCCUAUGAUGAAACUGUCAAACAACACUUAGAAAUCAAACAUUUACCGAUAAUCCUGCAGAAAAAACUCAAUGCAAGCCCAAUAAAUGAUGAAUAUAAAAAUAAAUAGAAUUUUAAUAAUUUAUAAAUAUCAAGAAUAAAAAACAAAGCCUAUCAUAAUUAACAAUUAAAUAACAAAUAAAUUAAGUUUUUUUUCCAAAUUAAUUAUUUUUUCAUUUUGUGAAUUGUAUUUUUGGAAAGAGUGUGGACACCUGUGGUGUAACAACUUCUUGUUUACAAGGUGUCAAUUAAAACUCAUUAUUUAUAACAUGUUCGUGAUUUACCUGGUCAUCGAAAAAUUCAAACCUAAUAUACAUGUCACACUGUGAAAUUAUGUCUCCGAGACAGGUGUAUAUUCAAUAGAAACCCAUUAUGUAACUAUCAAAUAAAAUGAACUCUGACACAAUUUAUCAAGUGUUAAUUAUUUAAUAUCAGUUUUUUUUAAUACAAUAUCAAAUUAUGUCUCUUUUUCAAUAAUACAAAUCUAAAAUCAAAAUUACAUUAAAAUAAAUAAUUAUAUAUGUACUCAAAUUAUUUAAUUAAUUAUGAUAAAUUUAACACUGAAACAGUUUAUGUUAUGCUUAAACAUUCGUCCUUACUUCGAGUACUUUUAAUACUAUUAUUAAUGACUUUAUUACCUAAGGAGAUCUCGCGAGGUUUAACUAGUGGCCGCGUGUUAUUACGGGAUUUUGCCGAGUUGCGAAUCUCUUGUAUUAUAUGUCUCUG